rnacentral:rRNA from 1 species
GGGAGGCAGCAGCAAGGAAUUUUCGGCAAUGGGCGCAAGCCUGACCGAGCAACGCCGCGUGGAGGAUGACGGCUUUCGGGUUGUAAACUCCUUUUGGGAGGGACGAUAAUGACGGUACCUUCCGAAUAAGCCCCGGCUAACUCUGUGCCAGCAGCCGCGGUAAUACAGAGGCCUCAAGCGUUAGGCGGAAUCACUGGGCUUAAAGCGCGUGUAGGUGGACUUUUAAGUGCUUUGUGAAAUCCCACGGCUCAACCGUGGAACUGCUGAGCAUACUGGAAGUCUUGGGCUAUCUAGGGGCAACCGGAACAAGCGGUGGAGCGGUGAAAUGCGUAGAUAUCGCUUGGAACGCCAAAGGUGAAGACAGGUUGCUGGAGAUAUGCCGACACUGAGACGCGAAAGCCAGGGGAGCAAACGGGAUUAGAUACCCCGGUAGUCCUGGCCCUAAACGAUGUCCACUGGAUCGCGG